rnacentral:lncRNA from 1 species
UUUUCUUUAAAUCUUUUAGACUCUUUCAGAUCUAAAAAUAGAACAAUAGGAGGUGGUGAUGGUGUAGGAAGAGCAGAACAAGAUCCUCUUAUCUUUCUUCUCACAAAAUCUAGAGUAGAAACCCUAGAGCACCCACCCUAGAACUCAUGCCCAAGAGGAAGUAUGUAUCCUCUUAUCUGUCACACAAAUGGACCUGUCCCCUCUCUAUUAACACCCCCCCUCUCUGAGAAAACCAAUCUCACGAUAGAAGCCUCCUU